GACGAACGCUGGCGGCGUGCUUAACACAUGCAAGUCGAACGGAAAGGCCCUGCUUUUGUGGGGUGCUCGAGUGGCGAACGGGUGAGUAACACGUGAGUAACCUGCCCUUGACUUUGGGAUAACUUCAGGAAACUGGGGCUAAUACCGGAUAGGAGCUCCUGCUGCAUGGUGGGGGUUGGAAAGUUUCGGCGGUUGGGGAUGGACUCGCGGCUUAUCAGCUUGUUGGUGGGGUAGUGGCUUACCAAGGCUUUGACGGGUAGCCGGCCUGCGAGGGUGACCGGCGACAUUGGGACUGAGAUACGGACCAGACUCCUACGGGAGGCAGCAGUGGGGAAUAUUGCACAAUGGGCGGAAGCCUGAUGCAGCAACGCCGCGUGCGGGAUGACGGCCUUCGGGUUGUAAACCGCUUUCGCCUGUGACGAAGCGUGAGUGACGGUAAUGGGUAAAGAAGCACCGGCUAACUACGUG
rnacentral:rRNA from 1 species